rnacentral:rRNA from 1 species
AUGCGGUUCUUUCCUAUUAAUCAUAUGCAAAAUGGAGCCGGCGACCAGCCCUUCUUCCUCACCCUCAGCCUUGAAACCACUGUUGACGCCUCCAAGAGCAGUCGGGCAUCGGCGUCGACGCCGGUAAGGCAACAUGCGUUGCAACAUGCAACCAAAUCAAAUGGAGUGUGGACAAAGUUAUAUAUGGACAAAGUUAUAUAUCAAGCAAAUUGGAUGAAGGUGUGUGGACAAAGUUAUAUAUCUAAUACUCAACCAUGUAGUUUACUAUUAUGCAGUGUGAAAAACGGUGUACAUCAGUUAUCUGGGACUAAUACUAUGGCCUGA